rnacentral:ncRNA from 2 species
UUCUUAUCCAGAGAGGCAGAGGGACUGGCCCUAUGAAGCCUCAGCAACCGGCUGAUUUUUAUCAGCGAUGGUGCUAACUCCAGCAGGUUAAAAGCCUGACAGAUAAGAG